AAUCUGCCCAGUCGUGGGGGAUAACGUAGGGAAACUUACGCUAAUACCGCAUGCGCCCUUCGGGGGAAAGCCGGGGAUCUUCGGACCUGGCGCGAUUGGAUGAGCCCAUGUCGGAUUAGCUAGUUGGGGGGGUAAAGGCCCACCAAGGCGACGAUCCGUAGCUGGUCUGAGAGGAUGAUCAGCCACACUGGAACUGAGACACGGUCCAGACUCCUACGGGAGGCAGCAGUAGGGAAUAUUGGACAAUGGGCGCAAGCCUGAUCCAGCCAUGCCGCGUGUGU
rnacentral:rRNA from 1 species